GGUCUCCCAAUGCUUACCACAGGCUGUACUCUUUACAAUGACUGUAGAGAAGAGGAGGUAAGUAAAUGGUCCUUAUAUACACCUCAAACCAGGCCCUUUGCCUGGUCUGUAUUGUGAAUUGGGGAACAAAA